rnacentral:rRNA from 1 species
AUUGAACGCUGGCGGCAGGCCAAACACAUGCAAGUCGAACGAGUGGCGGACGGGUGAGUAAUGUCUGGGAAACUGCCCGAUGGAGGGGGAUAACUACUGGAAACGGUAGCUAAUACCGCAUACCAUCAGAUGUGCCCAUAUGGGAUUAGCUAGUAGGUGGGGUAACGGCUCACCUAGGCGACGAUCCCUAGCUGGUCUGAGAGGAUGACCAGCCAAACGGGAACUGAGACACGGCCCAGACUCCUACGGGAGGCAGCAGUGGGGAAUAUUGCACAAUGUGCGCAAGCCUGAUGCAGCCAUGCCGCGUGUAUGAAGAAGGCCUUCGGGUUGUAAAGUACUUUCAGCGAGGAGGCGUUACUCGCAGAAGAAGCACCGGCUAACUCCGUGCCAGCAGCCGCGGUAAUUC